AACAGAACCCCUGGAAACAGAACUUGUAUUCAAGCAAAUACACAAAUUAGACUAACUAGUGACCACUUACUAGCGAGUAGCGACAAUAACAAAAAAACAUCCAUACCAAUCCAGGCCAACAAGAACACCAACUUCUGCAGCAAUAUAAGAUGGCUUAUGCCUCGGAAAUAGCAGUGUCUAUCACUUUGACAAAUUCUUUGAAUUCUGGUACAAAAGAAGGUUUAGCUGUCAAAUGGAACACUCUAAAUCUCUUGGUGUAAAUCAGAGGAAACAAAGCACACGAUAAAGCAAGAUGACUUGCAGAUGACUGUACAGGUCUCUUUGUUUUACCCUAUUCCAUGCCUUUUAAGCCAGUUAGAUAGACCUGUGUCUGAAUGAUUGUACUCCCAAUUUUAAACCCAGGCACCACAGUAAAUCCCACCUUUGGCCUUGUCUUGCUCAAAGGGAAUUGAAUUUUCCUUGUAACAUCUUCCGUGUAGACCAUCGAGAAGUCCACCCCUCUUUCAACUUGGAAUAUCUCAACUACAGGAUUAAAUGAGUAUGCCAACUUAUGAAGCAGCCAUAUUGUACUAGCCAUCCUUACAAACAACUCAUAAAACACACUUAACGACUUCCACGAAUCAACUAUGACUUCUUUCCCAUCCAAAUCCCUGAAAAUGGAUGAUUCUAUUGUAUGAUGAAUUAUCUGCUCA
rnacentral:misc_RNA from 1 species